UACGGAGGGUGCGAGCGUUAAUCGGAAUUACUGGGCGUAAAGCGCGCGUAGGUGGCUUGGUCAGUCAGAUGUGAAAUCCCCGGGCUUAACCUGGGAACUGCAUUUGAUACUGCCAGGCUAGAGUAUGGUAGAGGGUAGUGGAAUUUCCGGUGUAGCGGUGAAAUGCGUAGAUAUCGGAAGGAACACCAGUGGCGAAGGCGGCUACCUGGACCAAUACUGACGCUGAGGUGCGAAAGCGUGGGGAGCAAACAGGAUUAGAUACCCGAGUA
rnacentral:rRNA from 1 species